rnacentral:tRNA from 1 species
CGGUGGGUAGGCCAGUGGUUAAGCCAUCAGUUUUGGGAACUGAACAUCGGGGGUUCAAAUCCCCCCUCGCCGA